rnacentral:rRNA from 1 species
GAUGAACGCUAGCGGCAGGCCUAAUACAUGCAAGUCGGACGGGAUUUGGGAGCUUGCUCCUAAUGAGAGUGGCGCACGGGUGCGUAACACGUAUGUAACCUACCUUAAUCAGGGGGAUAGCCCCUCGAAAGAGAGAUUAACACCGCAUAACAUAUUUUUAUGGCAUCGUAGAAAUAUCAAAUAUUUAUAGGAUUAAGAUGGGCAUGCGGAACAUUAGCUAGUUGGUAAGGUAACGGCUUACCAAGGCUACGAUGUUUAGGGGAUCUGAGAGGAUGACCCCCAACACGGGCACUGAGACACGGACCAGACUCCUACGGGAGGCAGCAGUAAGGAAUAUUGGUCAAUGGGCGCAAGCCUGAACCAGCCAUGCCGCGUGCAGGAAGACGGCCCUAUGGGUUGUAAACUGCUUUUGUACCGGAAUAAACCCUUUUACGUGUAGAAGGCUGAAUGUACGGUGAGAAUAAGGAUCGGCUAACUCCGUGCCAGCCGCCGCCGUAA